GCCGGGAAGGCUUCUCCAUCAGCUUGGAUGAAUAAAGUUUUGAAGCCCUUGGAGCCUCCUGCAGAUGUGUCUACAGGGAGGACUUCUCCAGCUUCUCCAGCUCCUACCUUGGAUGCUAUACGCAAGCCCAGCUCCCAUCACAGUGUUACUCUAACAGGGAAAAUCCAAGAUACAACAGAUAAGAUGUCCCUGCAACCAUCCAAACAGAUGAGGAAAGAGCUGAAGGAACCCCUGCAGACAAGAGAAGAGAUGGACAUAGUGCUUCAGUGGAAGGUGGCAUUUCUUAAAGGAAGCACUCCAUCUUCGGUGCCGGCCCCUGCUGCAGGAAAGCAGGCAAAGCCAGACACGGGCACAGGCA